UAGGGUGAUCAACUAUACUGGUUUGCCCAGGACUCAGGGGUUCCCUAGGAUACAGGACUUUCGGUGCUAACAUUGGGAAAGUUCCAGGCAAACCAAGAUGGUUGGUCCCCCUACCUACCC
rnacentral:pre_miRNA from 1 species